rnacentral:rRNA from 1 species
AUGAACGCUAGCGACAGGCCUAACACAUGCAAGUCGAGGGGCAGCACAAGGAGCAAUCUGAGGUGGCGACCGGCGCACGGGUGAGUAACACGUAUGCAACCUGCCUGUAAGCGGGGAAUAACCCGUUGAAAGACGGACUAAUACCGCAUAAUACUAAAUUACUGCAUGGUAAUUUAUUUAAACAUUUAUGGCUUACAGAUGGGCAUGCGCAUGAUUAGCUAGUUGGAGAGGUAACGGCUCCCCAAGGCAACGAUCAUUAGGGGUUCUGAGAGGAAGGUCCCCCACACUGGUACUGAGACACGGACCAGACUCCUGCGGGAGGCAGCAGUGAGGAAUAUUGGUCAAUGGACGAGAGUCUGAACCAGCCAAGUCGCGUGCAGGAAGAAUGUUCCCUAUGGAUUGUAAACUGCUUUUGCAGGGGAAUAAAGUGCAUCACGUGUGAUGUUUUGUAUGUACUCUGCGAAUAAGGAUCGGCUAACUCCGUGCCAGCCGCCGC